ACUUUUUUUUUUUUUUUUUUUUUUUUUUUUUUUUUUUUUUUUUUUUUUUUCCGCUUAGGGUACACCUUGUUGGCGUGA
rnacentral:ribozyme from 13 species